rnacentral:rRNA from 1 species
GACGAACGCUGGCGGCGUGCUUAACACAUGCAAGUCGAGCGGUAAGGCCCUUUCGGGGGUACGACGAGCGGCGAACGGGUGAGUAACACGUGGGUGACCUGCCCUCCAGCUCUGGGAGUAAGCCCGGGAAACUGGGUCUAAUACCGGAUAUGACUCCAUGACGCAUGUUGUGGGGUGGGAAAGCCUUGUGCGGCUGAGGAUGGGCCCGCGGCCUAUCAGCUUGUUGGUGGGGUGACGGCCUACCAAGGCGACGACGGGUAGCCGGCCUGAGAGGGCGACCGGCCACACUGGGACUGAGAUACGGCCCAGACUCCUACGGGAGGCAGCAGUGGGGAAGUCUUGCGCAAUGGGCGAAAGCCUGACGCAGCGACGCCGCGUGAGGGAUGACGGCCU